GUCCUUUUGAGAUUAAUAUAAGGUCUGACCUGCCCACUGAAUAAUUUAAAUGGCCGCAGUAUUUUGACUGUGCGAAGGUAGCAUAAUCAUUAGUUUUUUAAUUAAAAGCUUGUAUGAAGGGUUGGACGAGGUAAAUUCUGUCUCUAUUUAAAUUAAAUUAGAAUUUAAUUUUUAAGUUAAAAAGCUUAAAUUUUUUUAAAAGACGAGAAGACCCUAUAGAUCUUUAUAAUUAGUUAAAUAAAAUAAAUUAAGAUUAAUUUUUAUUUUAUUUAAUUAAUUAUUUUAUUGGGGUAAUAGGAAGAUUAAAUUAAUUCUUUUUAAUUUAUUAACAUAAAUAAAUGAUUUAUUGAUCCAUUUUUAUUGAUUAUAAGAUUAAGUUACCUUAGGGAUAACAGCGUAAUUUUUUUAGAGAGUUCAUAUCGAUAAAAAAGUUUGCGACCUCGAUGUUGGAUUAAAAAUUAUCUUAGGUGCAGAAGAUUAAGAUUUUGGGCUGUUCGACCAUUAAAUUUUUACA
rnacentral:rRNA from 1 species